GAAGAACUCCACUAUGUAGAACCAUGCUUGAAUGGAACUUUAGUACAAGCAGAUAGAGCCAACAAAGAGCACUUCAGGGAACACCUUGACAAACUUUUUGCCAAAGGGAUUGGAAUGCUGGACAUUGCCUUAGUUGAAGCUUUCAAUAUGCUCAGUGAUUUCAAUCAUACAGGACAAGGAAGUAUUUGCAGUCAAGCCAUAAUGCUGAUUACCGAUGGUGCUGUGGAUACAUAUGAUGCAAUAUUUGAAAAAUAUAAUUGGCCGGA